AUGAAAAAAGCCUUUUGUAAGGGGCCACCAAUACUAACAGCACACGUGUGUAAUUUUUAUGACAGCUUGUCUCCCCUCUCUGCUGUAAAACAUGAAUUAGGUGUUUCGGGGCGUUUCUUUCACGACAGCAGGGUGCCCAGCAGCGUUUCUCAGCCCGUGCUGGGGGCCGGGGGCGGGAAGCGGAAGGCUCCCGCUCCCGUUCGGCUCUGUUCGCUAUUCAGGUCACAAGAAGAACCGAUUUCUUUUGUAUCAAAGGGAGAUUUUUUUUUUUUUUUUUUGGUUCCCCCCCUGCUUUCUGCAAGUUUAGGAAUGUCUCCGCAGCACCCCCAGGGGAGAGCACGGCCAUUUCAGCGCCGGGGCAGCGAUAACGGCCGCCGCGGGGCUAUCAGGCUGACCAGAAACUUUUCCGGGAGCUAUCUAGUAAAACACAUGACGGUCCCCCCCCCGGCCUGGAUGCUGAUACGUGACGGGCAUUCACAGCGCACCGCGCAACAGUCAGUUGACUUUGUUAUUCAAACUAUUUUAGCGAUGGUUUUUAAUCCCAGGCUUAAGUUUUUCUUUUUCUUUCUUUCUUUUCCUUUUUUAUUUCCCCCCCUCUUUCUGAACAAGGGAAUCUCUACGCUGGCAGGAUUUAGAGAGGCACAAAGGAGGGAAAAACAAGUUUCAGCCAGAAGGGGGAAAGAAAAAGAAAGAAAAAAACAAAAAAGGAUGCUGUUAGCAUUCCCUGUGUGUGAGGGGGGUAAAACCCAUUUUGCUGUGAACUUUGUUUUGAAGGGUAAGUGCCAACAGCAGCCCAGUUGCUAUGCAAAUAAACACCGUACUCGGUCUUUGCCUCUCGGCUCUCAUUUUGGGUUUUGGCCUCCUGUGGGGGGGGGAGGGAUUCGGGCCGGGGUGCUUGGCACGGGGCAGCACGGCAGGCCCCCGCGGGCUGGGGUUUUGGCCGGGCGCGAGGCGGGCGGCGUGGCGGGGCUGCCGGCUGUGGCAGGAAGCAGCCGGGCUGCCCGCGUGGCCUUGCGAGAUAAAGCGCGCGGCCGCGCCGAGGCCUCUGCCGCCGCUCCCCUCCCCUCCUCCCCGCCCCCGGCCCGUUAUCCCCAGCUAAAAACGUCGCUGUGA
rnacentral:lncRNA from 1 species